AGUGAACGCUGGCGGUAGGCCUAACACAUGCAAGUCGAACGGCAGCACAGUAAGAGCUUGCUCUUACGGGUGGCGAGUGGCGGACGGGUGAGGAAUACAUCGGAAUCUACUUUUUCGUGGGGGAUAACGUAGGGAAACUUACGCUAAUACCGCAUACGACCUACGGGUGAAAGCAGGGGAUCUUCGGACCCUGCGCGAUUGAAUGAGCCGAUGUCGGAUUAGCUAGUUGGCGGGGUAAAGGCCCACCAAGGCGACGAUCCGUAGCUGGUCUGAGAGGAUGAUCGGCCACCCUGGAACUGAGACACGGUCCAGACUCCUAAGGGAGGCAGCAGUGGGGAAUAUUGGACAAUGGGCGCAAGCCUGAUCCAGCCAUACCGCGUGGGUGAAGAAGGCCUUCGGGUUGUAAAGCCCUUUUGUUGGGAAAGAAAAGCAGCAGGUUAAUACCCCGCUGUUCUGACGGUACCCAAAGAAUAAGCACCGGCUAACUUCGUG
rnacentral:rRNA from 1 species